AUGCUAUUUUAUAGCUUCAAGAAGAGUACAUGAAUUCCAAAAGGAAAAAAGCAACUUUAUGCAAGUGCUUUGCUUAAAAAUAAUGUGUACAAAAAAUCAUCCAUGGCUAGAGACUCUUAUCACUAUUAAUGAUAACAAGAGAACUUAUCUCUACAGUUGAAAUGACAAUUCAGAAAAUUGGAUGUGAAGAUGGUAUUUGAAACACUACAAAAAACAAAAAUACUUCAGUCCUUCAGCAUAUUUCUAACAGUGCCAGGACAGGAAAGAGCUUGAACCUCACUGAACACUGGAAUUCAGACAAGAGGUGAUGAGUGUGAUAUAUUUCAGAGCAGGGGUGAAAAGCAAAUGGUCCCUAUUCAGGGAGUACAAACUCUGAGAGUAUUUGGAAAGAAAAGUGUGGGGCUGAGCUUUGCACCACCAAAGCCCAACCAAGUUUCCUCUUUGCCCACUCCCUCAGCCAUGAGGCCAGAGAGAGAAGAGGCUGGACGUCAAAGAAUGGUGAAAAAAACUGAAGAAGCUGUCAAGAUAUCACCAAUAAAAACAGAACAGAAAGUUUGAAAAUCCAAGGUGUAGAAAAUGAAUUCAACUUGUUUCGAAUGAGCCUAAAAGAUAGAGCCAAAAUCAGCAGGUGAAAGUUUCAGAAAGACCAGGCACUGUUAAAAUCAAGGAGGAUCUCAAUAACCAUGGGUCUGCAAAGGAAAAGGACAACACAAUGAGCUCCCUCUGAAGGUACCCUUGCAACAGGCU
rnacentral:lncRNA from 1 species